ACCCGCUGAAUUUAAGCAUAUAAGUAAGUGGUGGAAAUUAAACCAACUGGGAUCUCUUCAGUAAUUGCGCAUGAACCAGGAUAUGCUUAGCUUGACAAAUGGAGCUGCUGGCUCUGAAUUGUAUUGUGGGAAUGUAUUACCAACAGAGGUGCAGGUGUCAGCCAUUUGAAAGAAAGCAUCAAUGAGGGUGAGAGUCCUGUUUGUCAUGUGCAGCCUUCUGUGCACGGUGUAUAUUUGCUGAGUCACACUCCUUGGCAUUGGAAUGCAAAGUGGGUGGUAAGUUUCAUGCAAAGGUAAAUAUGCAAUUGAGACUGAUAGCGCACAAGUACCAUGAGGGACAUAUGAAAAGGACUUUGAAAAGAGAAUUAAAUGAGUUUGUAUUUGCUAAACACAAAGUAAACAGACUUGAUUUCCUCAGUGAGAUUGUAGUGCUUGCUUAACAAUGGGUUUUGGCUGCAAGUGCAAUAAUUCUUGCUUUGUGUGCCAGUUUUUAUGUGGACAUUUGAUUACCUUUGCACAUGAAUGGUAAUUUUCCUGCGGGGUGUGGAUUGCAUAUGCAUGUAAUGAUUUGCAUGUUUGUUAAAUGUGUCUGGUGUAUUUGUUUGUGUCCUUGUCCUUGAGGUUGCUUUCUCCCUUGGGCUUACAUGCCCUGGCACACACAUUCUGGCAAAAUGCUUCUGCUUGACCCGUCUUGAAACACGGACCAAGG
rnacentral:rRNA from 2 species